rnacentral:rRNA from 1 species
CCUACGGGAGGCAGCAGUGGGGAAUAUUGGGCAAUGGGCGCAAGCCUGACCCAGCAACGCCGCGUGAAGGAAGAAGGCUUUCGGGUUGUAAACUUCUUUUCUCAGGGACGAAGAAAGUGACGGUACCUGAGGGAUAAGCCACGGCUAACUACGUGCCAGCAGCCGCGGUAAUACGUAGGUGGCAAGCGUUAUCCGGAUUUAUUGGGUGUAAAGGGCGUGUAGGCGGGAGCGCAAGUCAGAUGUGAAAACUCAGGGCUCAACCCUGAGCCUGCAUUUGAAACUGUGUUUCUUGAGUGCUGGAGAGGCAAUCGGAAGUCCGUGUGUAGCGGUGAAAUGCGUAGAUAUACGGAGGAACACCAGUGGCGAAGGCGGAUUGCUGGACAGUAACUGACGCUGAGGCGCGAAAGCGUGGGGAGCAAACAGGAUUAGAUACCCCAGUAGUC